rnacentral:rRNA from 1 species
GACGAACGCUGGCGGCGUGCUUAACACAUGCAAGUCGAACGAAGUGGCGAACGGGUGAGUAACGCGUAAUCAACCUGCCCUUCAGAGGGGGACAACAGUUGGAAACGACUGCUAAUACCGCAUACUGAAGGUGGGGAUUGCGUCGGAUUAGCUAGUUGGAGGGGUAACGGCCCACCAAGCCGAUGAUCAGUAGCCGGUCUGGGGAGAUGAACGGCCACAUUGGGACUGGAGCACGGCCCAGACUCCUACGGGAAGGAACAGUGGGGGAACUUCCGAAAUGGACGGAAGUCUGGCGGAGCAACUCCGCGUGAGAGAUGACGGCCUUCGGGUUGUAAAGGUCUGUUAAUCGGGACGCGGUACCGGAAUAGAAAGCCACGGCUAACUACGUGCCAGCAGCCGCGGUAAUAC